GACCACAAAAACUAAUGCUCCGAGUCUUGUUCCCUUUUUUCGUUUCUUGUUUUUUUUUUUUUUUUUUUUU
rnacentral:ribozyme from 12 species